UACGUAGGGUGCGAGCGUUAAUCGGAAUUACUGGGCGUAAAGCGUGCGCAGGCGGUUAUGUAAGGCAGAUGUGAAAUCCCCGGGCUCAAUCUGGGAACUGCAUUUGUGACUGCAUAGCUAGAGUACGGUAGAGGGGGAUGGAAUUCCGCGUGUAGCAGUGAAAUGCGUAGAUAUGCGGAGGAACACCGAUGGCGAAGGCAAUCCCCUGGACCUGUACUGACGCUCAUGCACGAAAGCGUGGGGAGCAAACAGG
rnacentral:rRNA from 1 species